UCGAAGAGGAGGAGGUUGAUCGGAGAAGUAGAAGGGACCUUAGAACUCACAUGCAUGCGGUGACAAUGUGUAAGGCAUUAUUGUUAAGCAAGUGGGAGCUCAAAAGCAAGGACAAGGGGUCAUGUCAUUCAAGGAGACGUAGGUACCAAAAAGACAAUGCUUGAGGAUGGAAUUAUGAACCUCCAGCCAUGAAUAUGUGCUGCACGAAAGGAGAAUUUGGAGCAAGAGAUAAGACGUAUCAUUUGGGUAAUGGAAUUUUUGCAAUUUCACAGCUAGGGAUGACAGCAUUUUGGAGGAUAAUGACGAAGGGUUUUGAAUUGAGUUUACUAUUCAUCUUCUUCUGGGAACCAAAGACGCCGAGAUUGCAGGGUUCUUCACCUUGGUUGCCAUUAGCAAGCAUGAACGGAGGAGGGAAGACGAGUGCAAUGGAAAGGAGAAAUUCACUAUUCAUUACCAUCUUCUUCUUUACCUCUAGUCGACUGGUUCAGUAAAGCAAGAGAGAUGAAUCAGAUCUCUUCUCUAAACAAAGCAUGACAGUGAGGAAAGAAGGGGAAGACAUCGACUGGUUCAGAGAAGGAAGAGAGACUGACUGGGCCAAAUUUGUAUAGUAUUUUCAUUAUUUUGGCUAGUAUUUGUGCAUAAAUGCAUAUCUUACAACUUUUGGUUAACUUAGAGUGAUUGCAUGGUCUUAGAGUUAAUUUCGCAUGUUUUGCAUGUCUUUGUCAUUGCGCUUAGUUAAACUUAUUUUCUUAAACCUUUUGAUGCUGCACAAUGUUGUUUCUAACUUAUAGGUACCUUGGAAGAUAAAAAAGGAAG